GGGUCGGUGUCCGAGCGGCCAAAGGAAGCAGAUUGUAACUCUGCCGGCGUAUGCCUUCGUAGGUUCAAAUCCUACUCGGCCCA
rnacentral:tRNA from 1 species